CAAAUUCAUAAUUUGAUAUAACUUAGAGAAAACUCCACCAGGUUGAUUUAGUGGUAAGGUGUCCUUUAGUUUGGGUCUGAAUUCCUCUGCCAACUCCAUUAGUAACUACAUCUGGCAUUUCUAUUCUAGAAAGUACCUGAUACACAUAGCAUAAAAGGAGAACUAACUUGGCGGAACUGCAUGUUUGAAUUGGUAAUCAACUACAAUGAUCUCAGCCUGUUUGAGCUUGAGCAGCAGUCAAAGACAUUUUAAGAACACCUCUUUAUUUGUUAAUUUUUAUUCGGGAACAGAUUUUUAAUGGCUU
rnacentral:misc_RNA from 1 species